GAGGAGUUUGGUCUUAGAUGGUGCAGUGUAGGUGGGGUUUCAUCUCUAUUUAAGUUUGCAGCAACAAACGUCGGGCUAGCAUAAAGUGUUUUAGUGUGAGGCAUUUGAAAUGAAACAUUGUCUAGUAGUUAUAGGCCUGGAGAAACUACAAGACUACCAAGUUUCAGUUCAGGGAGAGGAGUACAACUAGCACUUGUAGUUCAAGGCUUCAUUUGUUCCAAAAAUCAAG
rnacentral:lncRNA from 1 species